CCACCCUCCAGGGGCAGCUGAUUCAAUUUAGCUAGCAAGAACAGCAGUCUUUUUGUUUCUGCUCUGAACUGCACCCAGAAAAAGGAACAGCCUGUUGCCGUCUCAUGUGGGGACAAUAGGACAAUUCUAAUUUUACUGUCUGACUUGGAAGGAGUGACCGCAUACAGGCUAAACCAUUUUACUACCAUGAUACCUAUCAUUUUGAGUGAUUGUGAAGAAACCAUAGCAAAAUGGAUAGAGAACUAGCCCAGGAGCCAAGAAUUACAGAAGACUUGCCAGUCUGAUUAGUAGAAGGAAUUUUCACAAUGGAAAACCCAACACCAAAGAAAUACCAGGUUCUGACCAAAAAUAUGUAUUUGUGAUCAGGUUAUGAGAAUGGAGGAUUGAGAAGAGUUUAUCCAUUAAAGUCUUUCUCCGGUAGGCUCUACCAAGCUGAAAAGACCUUGAGUAUGGACCUGAUAAUGAACUAUGUCCUUGUGCUCUGAGAAGUGACCUGAUGAAAUGUGGAGAGAGUGAUUCCUAGAAGACUGGCCAAAGGGCAAUCAUUAUUGCAAUCACUUUUUGUCAUAGCAGAUGGAAGACAAACACCAAUGGAAACACAGAUCCCUGAACUCCUGGAGUGUGUCACAGGAAAAUAAGGAUAAGAAAUG
rnacentral:lncRNA from 1 species